rnacentral:rRNA from 1 species
GAUGAACGCUGGCGGCGUGCUUAACACAUGCAAGUCGAGCGAACGGACGAGAAGCUUGCUUCUCUGAUGUUAGCGGCGGACGGGUGAGUAACACGUGGAUAACCUACCUAUAAGACUGGGAUAACUUCGGGAAACCGUAGCUAAUACCGGAUAAUAUUUUGAACCGCAUGGUUCCAAAGUGAAAGACGGUCUUGCUGUCACUUAUAGAUUGAUCCGCGCUGCAUUAGCUAGUUGGUAAGGUAACGGCUUACCAAGGCAACGAUGCAUAGCCGACCUGAGAGGGUGAUCGGCCACACUGGAAGUGAGACACGGUCCAGACUCCUACGGGAGGCAGCAGUAGGGAAUCUUCCGCAAUGGGCGAAAGCCUGACGGAGCAACGCCGCGUGAGUGAUGAAGGUCUUCGGAUCGUAAAACUCUGAUAUUAGGGAAGAACAAAUGUGUAAGUAACUGUGCACAUCUUGACGGUACCUAAACAGAAAGCCACGGCUAACUACGUG